GGAGUUAGCCGGUGCUUCUUCUGUGAGUGAUGUCCUUCCUGCCGGCUAUUAACCCGCAGGCCUUCUUCCUCACUGAAAGUGCUUUACAACCCGAAGGCCUUCUUCACACACGCGGCAUGGCUGGAUCAGGGUUGCCCCCAUUGUCCAAUAUUCCCCACUGCUGCCUCCCGUAGGAGUCUGGGCCGUGUCUCAGUCCCAGUGUGGCUGAUCAUCCUCUCAGACCAGCUACGGAUCGUCGCCUUGGUGAGCCGUUACCUCACCAACCAGCUAAUCCGACAUAGGCUCAUCCGAUAGCGCGAGGCCCGAAGGUCCCCCGCUUUCCCCCGUAGGGCGUAUGCGGUAUUAGCCUGGGUUUCCCCAGGUUAUCCCCCACUACCGGGCAGAUUCCUAUGCAUUACUCACCCGUCCGCCGCUCGCCACCAGGGAGCAAGCUCCCCGUGCUGCCGCUCGACUUGCAUGUGUUAGGCUCGCCGCCACGCGUUCAUCUGAGCCACUAAUACAACUACUGA
rnacentral:rRNA from 1 species